rnacentral:rRNA from 1 species
AUACGGAGGGUGCAAGCGUUAUCCGGAUUUAUUGGGUUUAAAGGGUCCGUAGGCGGAUCUGUAAGUCAGUGGUGAAAUCUCAUAGCUUAACUAUGAAACUGCCAUUGAUACUGCAGGUCUUGAGUAAGGUAGAAGUAGCUGGAAUAAGUAGUGUAGCGGUGAAAUGCAUAGAUAUUACUUAGAACACCAAUUGCGAAGGCAGGUUACUAUGUCUUAACUGACGCUGAUGGACGAAAGCGUGGGGAGCGAACAGGAUUAGAAACCCCAGUAGUCC